UACGUAGGGAGCAAGCGUUGUCCGGAAUCAUUGGGCGUAAAGGGCGCGUAGGCGGUUGGAUAAGUCAGCUGUGAAAACCACGGGCUUAACUCGUGGCCUGCAGUUGAGACUGUCUGGCUUGAGUGUGGGAGAGGAGAGUGGAAUUCCUGGUGUAGCGGUGAAAUGCGUAGAUAUCAGGAGGAACACCGGUGGCGAAGGCGGCUCUCUGGUCCACAACUGACGCUGAGGCGCGAAAGCUAGGGGAGCAAACAGG
rnacentral:rRNA from 1 species